rnacentral:rRNA from 1 species
UACGAAGGGGGCGAGCGUUGUUCGGAUUUACUGGGCGUAAAGGGCGCGCAGGCGGUUCUGUUUGUCGAGGGUGAAAGCCCCCGGCUCAACUGGGGAGGGUCACGCGAUACUGAUCGACUCGAAGGCAGGAGAGGGAAGUGGAAUUCCCGGUGUAGUGGUGAAAUGCGUAGAUAUCGGGAGGAACACCAGUGGCGAAGGCGACUUCCUGGCCUGUUCUUGACGCUGAGGCGCGAAAGCUAGGGGAGCAAACGGG